GACGGAGGAUGCAAGCGUUAUCCGGAAUGAUUGGGCGUAAAGCGUCCGCAGGUGGCAGUUCAAGUCUGCUGUCAAAGACCGGGGCUUAACUUCGGAAAGGCAGUGGAAACUGAACAGCUAGAGUUCGGUAGGGGAGCACGGAAUUCCUGGUGUAGCGGUGAAAUGCGCAGAUAUCAGGAGGAACACCGGUGGCGAAGGCGGUGCUCUGGGCCGAAACUGACGCUGAGGAGCGAAGCGUGGGAGCAAACAGG
rnacentral:rRNA from 1 species